rnacentral:piRNA from 1 species
UGCUGGACUAGGUGGUAAAGAGUGUUGGA